rnacentral:rRNA from 1 species
GUAAAUUACCCAAUCCUGACUCAGGGAGGUAGUGACAAGAAAUAACGGACCGAAGCCUAUGUUUCGGGAUUGCAAUGAGUAGAAUUUAAACCCCUUUACGAGGAUCAAUUGGAGGGCAAGUCUGGUGCCAGCAGCCGCGGUAAUUCCAGCUCCAAUAGCAUAUAUUAAAGUUGUUGCAGUUAAAAAGCUCGUAGUUGGAUUUCUGGAGGGGUGCCGAAGUCCGCUCGAUAGCGUGUGCUGAGGCGCCCUUCCAUCCUUCUGUUAACGUUUCUUGGUAUUCAGUUACUGGUUUCGGGCUCAGAUAUUUUACCUUGAGAAAAUUAGAGUGUUCCAGGCAGGCUUGCGCCGGAAUACAUUAGCAUGGAAUAAUAGAAUAGGACUUUUGUCUCCUUUGUUGGUUUGAGGGACUGAAGUAAUGAUUAAUAGGGAUAGUUGGGGGCAUUAGUAUUUAAUUGUCAGAGGUGAAAUUCUCGGAUUUGUUAAAGACUAACUUAUGCGAAAGCAUUUGCCAAGGAUGUUUUCAUUAAUCAAGAACGAAAGUUAGGGGAUCAAAGACGAUCAGAUACCGUCCUAGUCUUAACCAUAAACUAUGCCGACUAGGGAUCGGAGGCGCGCUUUAUCCGCCUUCGGCACCUUAUGAGAAAUCAAAGUCUUUGGGUUCUGGGGGGAGUAUGGUCGCAAGGCUGAAACUUAAAGGAAUUGACGGAAGGGCACCACCAGGAGUGGAGCUUGCGGCUCAAUUUGACUCAACACGGGAAAACUUACCAGGUCCAGACAUAGUGAGGAUUGACAGAU